rnacentral:rRNA from 1 species
UACGAGGGGGGCAAGCGUUGUUCGGAAUUAUUGGGCGUAAAGGUGCGUAGGCGGUGCGGUAAGUCUGUUGUGAAAUCUCCGGGCUCAACUCGGAGUCUGCAUCAGAAACUGCCGUGCUGGAGUGUGGGAGAGGUGAGUGGAAUUCCCGGUGUAGCGGUGAAAUGCGUAGAUAUCGGAAGGAACACCUGUGGCGAAAGCGGCUCACUGGACCAUUACUGACGCUGAGGCACGAAAGCUAGGGAGCAAACAGG